rnacentral:pre_miRNA from 1 species
UGUGUACUCCCUCCGUUCCAAAAUACUUGACUUCCAUUUGUCCAAAAAUGGAUGUACCUAUAUAGUAAGACAUGUCUAGAUACAUAUAUAUUUUGACAAAUAGAAGGCAUGUAUUGUGCAAUGGAGGGAGUAGAAU